rnacentral:lncRNA from 1 species
GGGAGAAGAAAUGGGGGUAGGAGGAGGGUGAAGAGAAGAUUUUACAUAUUGGUGCCCCAGCAAGGGAGCCCACCUCAUUGAGGUCAUAGGUGGGGCCUACCUUGGGAGAAGUAGAGUAGAAAGAGGGGUGUGAGGUGCCCACACAGAUGAGCCUGAGGCAACUUUUCCCAUACACCCUGGUGUGACUCCUGGUAGAGAGACAGGCAAGAUAGCCAGCAGACCCAAGAGGGCUUGCGGUAUACAAACCAUGAGAACACGGUGGUCAUCUGCUUGGAUCAAGGAUGAGAAAGUAUCCAGGAUGUAGAUCUAGCCUUGAACUGUAG